UUUUAGUGGCGACUUUUGGAAAGUCGCUGGUAAAUCUCUAUUACUUUUAAAAUAAUUAAAAAAAGCAAAAUACCUAUCCUAAUUAAUUAAAACUUGCCUGCUCUUGGUAUGAACGAACAUAAGCCCUAACAUUCAGCAAAAAUUUCAGCCAAAUUCUCUCUAGAAUCGGCCUACUCUCCUCAGCAAAAAUUUCAGCCAAAUCAAAAUCCCUCAAAUCAAAAUGUGAAUCUCAUUUGUCAGGAAUACAAGAAAAAAUCACACAGAAAGAAUCAUUUGAAGCGUAUUUGGUGUUGUUAUUGUCGAUUCUCGGUCUUGACAGAAUCUCCACUAUAUCUUUUCCUGUGUAAGUUAAAAUCUUCUUUUUGAGAGACCUUUUAUAUGUCGGCAUUCCAUUCUUAUUUUGUUCUUAUAUGGUUAUGUGCCUAAAUCAGUAGACAUGCAAUUUUUAAUUUUAUAAGGUACACAUGUUAUUGUAUGGUUAUUAGAAAACAUAAUACUUCUUUGCGAAUGAUGUGGUGAAAUUAGGGUCUCUUGUGGUUCUCGAGAGGUCCCUUUCUUUUCAUUAAAAUAAGUGUGAAGAAUAAAAAAAAUAUAGAAGCAGAAUUUCUGGACAAUAUGAUGUUUGAUUGAGAGGUGUUCAGUUUACAAUCAGAACCCCUCCAAAUUCCAAAACUAUUGCUUCUUGGUUCUGCUUCUUUCUUAAAUAUAUACAUACACUAGUUUUGAUUUCUAUUUUAUUUUCUUCUGCUCAGUAGUUUUUUCUUCUUCACUUGGAUGAAGCACAAGAAUUUUCUGCUGGAUUUUGGAAUUUGGGACAUCAUUAUUUCCUGUGUACAAAGUGUCAGCUCAAAGUGUAAUUGGAUUAAUUAUUUGUUUCUGUUAUGAAAAAUAACCGUUCAUUAAACUAAUAGUUGUUUCAGUUACCUAAUGCACAAGGAGUGACCCUUACACAACUAUUAGCACAUGGAUUAAUUAUUUGUUUCUUAUUAAAAGUUUAAUUUGUGAUGGAGGGAGGCCAAAUAUGAAAUAGGUAGCUUUGGACUAUGCUAUGUAUGAAUGAUCUUUUACAAUAUAGGAGAUCUUGAUUUUUUGUUUAUAGUUCUUGCAUUAACUGGUCGAAAGCAUUUAUGUCGCUACAAGGGUGUGGGGUAAGAAAUUUGCAAAUGCAAUGGUGCAUAUGGGUACCUUGGAUAUCCUUACAGGGUGGAAGGGCGAGAUCAAGAAGAACUGCCAUUUUGUGAACUAAUUAGUCAUGCUUUUGCCUUUUUAGUUUUGUAAAGGUGUCCAUUUCAGCUUUCUUGUUAUUGUUAUUGUGAGUUGGAGACAUUCUAUUUAAGUGAGUAUGGUUCAAUCUUUGUUUAAUAGUUACAGACGAAUCUUCUUAAUAGAACUAGUUCUUGAUUGAAAGUUUCUUUGUGAAAGAACGAAUUACUUUUACUUCUUUUCGCACUUAGAACUACUUCCCUUUUAAACUAGUGUGACAAUCUGCGAGAACUUGGAAGUACAAAAAUGAACAUCUGCAACUGAAUUAACAUCUGUAGAAUCAACAAAAAAUAAAAAAAAUGAAGCACCUCUUAGGUUCUGCGGAUGUUAAUUCCACUACAGCUAUGAGUUUAAAGCAUUUAAUCAAAGGGUGUGUAAGAGGAAAAUAGCAUGGAUGAACUGAAAUAGAUGGAUGUUUAGCAUCUGUUUAUUUUCCUUAGGAAAAUAGCAUCUGUUUAUUUUCCUUGUUAAUCCUGGGAACCAGGUUGGCUAUUUGGAGAAUAAACAUCUUGGCCACCAUAUUAGAUGGAUGAACUGGAAGUUCGGAAUUUAAGGUAUUAACUUAAUACCUGAAGAUUGUCUCUUUGAAUGGUGAUUUAUUAAUCUGUUUACUUACAGGUUGUAAGUGAGAGGAACAAAAGAAAUAGAGAAAAACAAAUAACUAAGCAUACUUGUGGUACAAAGUCUUUUGCAGAAGUAGAGGAAUUUACGAGAAAUUCUAUUACUGGAGAAUUAGACACACCAGAUAAAGUUUGGGAGAUCCAAUAUACACGCAAGAAUGAUAGAGGCGAACUGGUGUGGUUGGAUUCACAGUCCCAACAAAUUCAUGGUCAACUCCAGGAAGUUGUCGCUCAGCAACAAUCUGAAGAGAUCGAGCAUCCCAUGACUAGAGAUGGGAUUUUAUCCUCUGUUCUUGGUGAGAAAACAUGCUAUAUUCGUGGAAAAGGAUACGAAAAGAAGCCUCCUAAAAAGAGUAACAUUCAGCAGGCAAACAUAGAGGCCAGUGGUCUUCUGCUAUUGAUAUUGUGCGUCAAGAGAUGCAAGCCGAGAUGGAUAGGAAGCUGCAAGAAGAACGUGAACAAAUGGCUGCUGAGUUGCGAAGAAAUAUGGAAAUUGAGUUGGAAAGGAAGUUAGCAGAGGAGCGUCAACACGCAAAUGCAGAAGUAGACAAGAGGAUCUCUCUAGAAGUGGACAAGAAGAUGCAGGAACAAUUUGCUAGUUUCAUGACCAGAAUGCAACAACAACAGGGACAAGGCACUUAAACAGUGGUAUCGUUCAAGGAUGGUGUCGAGCAAGGAGCAGUUACAAGGCACUUAAUAUUUUAUCUUUUUUGGGAUAUGGAUAUGCGUACAGUUAUAAUGCACAAUGAAGUGUCGGGUAGUAUUGUAACGACCGACCAGUCGUUUUGAGAAUCCAGGCGUAUCUGGACACGGUAGCGGUUGUUGACUAUUCCGGUUGCAGAUCUUCUCGGGGAUAACAAGGUAGCUGCCUGGCGAUCGCAACCCUGCUCUUCUCCCUCUUAUCUUCCUUUAGUUGUAUUUAGCUAUUUUCUAGACUUUGUUAGUUUCGAUACUGUCAGAUAAAUUGUAGUAGAUGCUCAUGACUAGUGACACCCCGAUGUCGGGCUUUUCUUUUCCGCACUUUUAUUUUGAUUUG